GACGGCGUGGCACAGUGGCUACUGCGGUAGACUAGAAUACAACCUAUUUAUCUACUCCUCUCUGAGGGCGCAGGUUCGAGUCCUGCCGCCGUCG